UCUUGGAGGGACUGAUUUGCAUCAUUUCCGUACUCGUCAUCCUGGAGAAACGUUUCAUCAUAGGGUAAAGGUGACCAGUCAGAAGGCCUUGGUAUUGAUUUGCAGUGACAUUUCCAUCUAAGAGGAUAUGUGGACCCACAACCAUGCCUGCAAAAUAAAUAAAUGCCCCCACAGAAGAACAAAGUCACCAAUGCUUUGUUUAAUUAGUCACCCUUCGGUGGAUACCAGGAUUGGAUACAGGCCUGCUUAUUGCGUUUCUAAAUCCGUGCUUGGAAACGCGAACAUAGACUCAGAUUAUAUUCCUGAAAUGACGUGAUGCACGCGAGGACACGUGGACGGGGUUUGUAUUGGAAGUUGAAACGUGCUGUUGAAAGCUGCAUGGGAAGUGUGCAGUGCAUGGUUCAACUUCCGGGAUAGGGAAAAGAUGUGAAGCUUAAAAGAAAGUCUAUAUAAAGAACCAUGUUCUGGUCUAAAGGCUGAGAAUAUAUAGAUGUAUCUGCAGCCUUCUUUGGAUUGAUCUAAUUGAAGACUUCUGGUUAACAGGUUGACUGAACUUGUAGACAAAAAGUGAUCAAUCUGAUGCUUCUUCAAUAAACCAUAAACUACAUGA